UUUAGAUGCAUGUAACAGUAACAGCAUGACGAUGCCCAGGUGGCUGACAGGAACAUGCUUUCUUGAACUUUUUUUCUGCCUACUUUCACUGGCAAGUUUUUAACACAUCCAGGUUAGCCCCCAGGAAGAAGGGUAUAGCUGCAUGACACAGGGAAGGAAGAGUUUCAAACGGAAAAGAAAGGAAAGGACUUUGUAGACUGGGAAGGAAAUCCACCAGAGAGGAGAGAGCUCUCACGGAAAGGGGAGAGAGAGAAUGGAAACAAAGAUUAUGCUCAAGAAAAAGUUCCAGGCUGAAAUCUGUUGUCAAAGAGAAGAGCUGUGUGCAAGCUAAUCUCCUAUUGUCUGCAAAUCCCUGUCCACAAGCCCGCCUGCAGCAAUUAAUGGGAAUCCUGCUUCUGAAAUACAACCGCAAACAGACAGGCACACACACACAUACAGACACAUGUUGUGGAGAUCUGACUUCUGUUCAGCUCCGAGCUCUACUUAAAUCAAAUGAAAAGUGUGCUUACCAUUUUCAUCUAACCGCAUAAUGAAAUAUUAUAGGUAUUGUGCUCUGAAAGCGAGGAAGAGAAAACUAGCUUGCUUAAAAUAAGAGCUGACAAAUCUUUCUUUGGCUUUUAUUUCACUGAGUUGUCAUACUCAUCAAAAGAACCUCCUCUCUUUUAUGUCUUAUUUCACCUGAGGACAGUAUGCCUAGCUCUCUGUCACUUCUCCAGCCACUGUUUUGGAGCUCCAUUGCCAGUUGCUUAAUAUCCUGCCCUGAUAGCCAUCAUAUUAUGUUGUCGCCUUGCAUCCUUGAUAGAUCUUCAUGCAUGUGAGGCAUGAUGAUGCAAUGAAAAUGUAGCUACUCAAAAGAGGCAGCAAGAAAGCUCACACUAGAAGACUUGC
ensembl:lncRNA